AGGACGAACGCUGGCGGCGUGCUUAACACAUGCAAGUCGAACGAGGAUCAAGGAAGAGCUUGCUCCGAGAUGAUUCGAGUGGCGGACGGGUGAGUAACGCGUGAACAAUCUGUCUCAUACAGGGGGAUAACGCAUCGAAAGAUGUGCUAAUACCGCGUAGGACCACAGCAUCGCAUGGUGCAGGGGUGAAAGGAGCAAUCCGGUAUGAGGUGAGUUCGCGUCUGAUUAGAUAGUUGGUGAGGUAACGGCCCACCCAAGUCAACGAUCAGUAGCCGACCUGAGAGGGUGAUCGGCCACAUUGGGACUGAGACACGGCCCAGACUCCUACGGGAGGCAGCAGUGGGGAAUAUUGGGCAAUGGGCGAAAAAGCCUGACCCAGCAACGCCGCGUGAAGGAAGAAGGUUUUCGGAUCGUAAACUUCUGUCCUUGGUGAAGAUAGUGACGGUAGCCAAGGAGGAAGCCCCGGCUAACUACGUGCCAGCCGCCGC
rnacentral:rRNA from 1 species